UGAAAACCAGAACACUCAUUUUCGGGUUUUGAUCCUUUGGGAGCUGAUUUGUUUGGGAGCCAAGGCGUUUGAGAUCCAAGGUACAACUAAAUAAAAACACUGGGUCUCUAAAUCUGGAUGGUGGACUUGAAAUAAUUUCCUUGGUUCUGUGGUUUAUUUAAAAGGUGGUCCCACACCUGGGUAACAAACAGAAGUGGUGCAGAGGUGAAUUCUUAGCACACAAGCAAUAGAAUCACAACACCUCUCUUAAGAUCUCCAGAGCACAGUUUAUCAGAUCAAUGCUCAGCAGAUUACAGACCACCCAGAAUGCUAGAAUGUGGCCCGUCACAAGUUAUAGGGAAACAGCCUUUUUAUAGAGUUGAAUAGCUGUUUGAGAUCUCACUGACCUAAAUUAUCCAAACCUUUCAGAUUCUGAAAUACUAGCUGAAGCUGAGAAGUUAGCAGGUGAAUUGCUUAUAUGGGCUGACAGAGCAAAUGAAGUCGAGUCUGCAAUCAAUGACCUCACUUCAAAUCAUCCUCAAAAGUGGCAGAUAUAUAAAGAGGCUCUCUAUUUAUUUGAUGAAGGACUAGUAGACUGGAGUCAGGCAGACAGCUUUUGUGAGAGUCAAAAAUCCAAACUGGUUAUUAUUGAAAAUGAAAAAGAGGAGCAGGAGUUCCUGGAAAAUGCAAUUAAAGACGAACAGCAUGACUUCUGGAUUGGGCUCCGUCAUUUCGUUGGAUGGAAAUGGAUAGAUAACACUUUCCCACCACGAUAUUACUGGGCAGUCGGUAAGCCAGACAACCACCUUUAUAAACCAGUCGGUGCAAUAAAAGCAAAGUGUGCAACACCACUGCGAUGUUGGGAGAACUUUCCCCGUCUUGAUCAAAAAAGAAGCAUAUGUAAGAAGAAGCCUGAUAAACGAUGGUUCAAUUAAAACUCUUCAUGGGCAAUGAAUCGACCCACCUUUAAUAGAAGCCAUGGUCAAUGAUCCAAAUUAUGGAAUUAAGGGCAUGGAAGAGAUCAGGUCUUUGACACCAGCACUCAAAAGCCUUUUGUCAAUCCUGCAUCCUCAGGUGACCUGAUUUUGCAACCUCAGAUAAUGGAAACUCCUGGAAAAUAAAGCAAGGAGGACUCAGUCGUAGCCCACGUCCUGUUGCAAUAAUUAAUCCAAUACAUCCUUUCCCAACUCAGUGCCUUCUAGGUGCCAUCAGCCCUAACCAACAGGUUGCAUUGGAGGGCACCAAGUGGAGGAAGAUUGAUUUAGUAUACCUGCUAGAGGGGAACAUUUUACCAGAUUGGGGGGGGAGGGGAACAUAACACUCUUCUUAGGGAUGACUCCCCCUAUUGGCAACAGGAAGGGUCUUCGUGGCCUCUCUAGGGGAGGAGUCGCCCCACUUCCCCCAGACCAACUCUGCCUGCAGUCAGAGCAGUGGUGUCUCUCUCCUCUUUAUUUCUGAGAGAAUUGGUCUUCCUGUGAGUGUGACAGUUUCCAUUGUCUUGUUCUAUAUUACGACUUCCAGACGUCUGUUGGCUUAUAACCUGCCAGGCAUGGGCCCGCUAUCAGUUAGUAAUUCACCACACUUCGACCAGUGGGGUCAACAGUGAAUCCACAGCUCCAGCAGUCUUCCAGCUGAACUUCAGAGUUUUCCUGCUUUCCAGUAGUCAUCUUUUUCCAGAGUUCCUGGUUAAGAAAAACCUCUGUCCCACUCAGUUCAGUUCUAAGUUUAAGUAUAAAGUGUUUAUUGUCUCACAAGACAAAGAUAAAUGUACUAACUACUGUAAUACAGUUCUUCUGGUCUUAGAAGUAAAGAAACAAAUAUACAGAGAUAUCCACCAGCUCUUUACCAUGCUAGCUCACACUACGCUGUGUAAAACCCACCAAACACAGUUGCUCACAGACUCUCGCCUUGUUGCCCCCAGAUUACAGAAUGCAAUGCAGACUUGACUUCUAUACCAGUUUCUGCUCAUAUGCACAUUCCUGAGAAAAAGUGAGGUUGGAUAAAUCAGCAAGCCUGACUUUCAGUGUUGUACUGUUGCUAGGCAACCCUGUGCACCUGGCAUCCUAUCUCUAAACAAGAUAUUGAGAUCCAAACAAGCAAUUUCACUCCUUUUUCCAAUUACACCUUGUUUGCUUAACUUCUUUGAACGUCUGGAUUAGUCCCAUAGUGUUCUCCUGUCCUUAAGAGUUGUUUUGGUCCAUCUCCUGUGUCUUCUCCUCUUCCCU